CAGAAGCUAUGAGGCUUUGGUACAAAACACCCAAGUGUCCUUGUAAGCCAACAUUUUAGCUUUCAGCUUCUGUCAUUCACUAGGUUUACUCACGCCCUGUUGCUGCGUCUUGUGAUGAUUCAUAGAAACUCUAAGCCUCUCUCCUCCCCAUUCCUCAAUACGCUUUACAUGUGUACAAGGGUUUCAUCCCCAGAACACCGGAAGAAAAACAUUAAAGGGUUUAUUUACUAAACAG